rnacentral:rRNA from 1 species
UACGGGGGGGGCAAGCGUUGUUCGGAAUUACUGGGUGUAAAGGGUUCGUAGGCGGUGUGGCAAGUCGGGAGUGAAAUUUCUGGGCUCAACUCAGAGACUGCUUCCGAAACUGCUGUGCUGGAGUGUGGGAGAGGCGCGUGGAAUUGCAGGUGUAGCGGUGAAAUGCGUAGAUAUCUGCAGGAACACCCGUGGCGAAAGCGGCGCGCUGGACCACUACUGACGCUGAGGAACGAAAGCUAGGGGAGCAAACAGG